ACUUAUUGAAUAUAGUUAUUCUUAUAUUAGUUAUAGCCUUCUUUUUGCAUUUUAUACAAAAAUGGGAAAUAUGAUGAUAUCUUGUUUGUACAAAUAAAGCUUGCCUGAAGAUCAGAGGGUGGAGCUUGCCACUGCUACCAGUUAACCUUAGAAGUCUAGAGGUCUGUACAGACAGACAGGAAGUGACAUGGCUUGGCAGAGAAAGGAAGUGAAAAGUCAAGAGGACACAGGAGCUCAGUCUCUUUUUGACUGGGAAGUUGAGUAGGUAGCCUGGGUUGGAUAAGAAGGACUGAGCAACCCAAAGGGAGCAAGCCACUGGGCAGCAUUGCUCUGCUUCGCUUCCUGUCCAGACAAACCCUUCAGUGACAGACUAUGACAUGGAAGGGAGCAGGGCAAACUUAAAAGCCUUAAAUACGGAGGAGUGAAGUCAACAGGUAUCCUGGGAAUUGCUGCUUGGGGCAGGGUCACGAAGGCGUAUGGCUGCUCCUUAAGGAUUUGAUGUCUUCUGCUUCUAAAGAUCAGCUGUUUCCAAGUCCCAACUGGAACUGCAUCCACCAGUUGGCAGACAGCCUCUGUGAUGGCUCCACUAAAGAGGCAGAAACGUUCUUUUCAGGGAGCAUACAUUUCUAAUUGGAGAAUGGCCACACUGAGGUUGCCCUGGCUGAAUUCACUCCGGGGCUCUCUGCUCAAUACUGGCAGUUAGGAUUUAAUCAGCAAACCCAGGUGAGUGGCUGUUCUCCAUGUUGUUAUUACAGGAUGGAGGGGGAAAAAAAUCACUGAGAUUAGUCAAUACAGAACCGUCAGAGCUGGAGAGACUGUUUAGUGAUUAAGAGCACUUGUUGCCUUUCCAGAGGAUUUGAUUCCCAGGGCCUACGUGGCAGCUCACAGCCAUCUGUAAAAUAUAACUCUAGUUCCAGAGGAUCUGACACAUUUUUCUGGCAUCAGCAGGCACUGUAUGUACGUGGUGCACAGACAUGUAUACAGGAAAAAACACAGAUACACAUAAAAGUAAGGAAAUACUUAAAAAGAAAUAGCUGUCUAGUUGAGUCUGCAUACAGCUCACAAGUGUGCAGCACUACUGAGUCACAACCUCACGGAUCCUGUCUUCGUAACAGUGAGAACUGAGGGAGAGAGAUCAUACAUGUUGUUAGGACCUGAUGAUGGUGGCAGCAGUGAGGAGCUUCCAGCACGUGCAAGACCACCACUGAGGAUUUUUUUUCAUCUGAAAAUCAAUGUAUUAUGAUGUACCUGACUUACAGUCAAGCAAUUCAGGCUAAAAGUCGACAAAGCAUCCCCAAAGAUGACCACUCGGGUCCCGUUAAGUACCUGCUGUGGUAGGGAACUGGCUGCCUCUGCAGAAUGCUCCAGCCGUGUAUGGCUUGGUGGAAAGCAUACGCAAGAGGACGGUGGUACGAAGAAUACAACAAAACAAGUGAUUCAAAUUCAGAAGGGGAGAACAUAUAGCUCGAAAGAUACUGUUAAAGGAUCAUUAUACCCAGUUUUUCUUAUUAUACCCAAUGUAGUGGUUUGAAAGAAAAUGGCCCCCAAAGGGAGUUGCACUAUAGCAGGGGUGGCCUUGUUGGAGUAGGUGUGGCCUUGUUGGGGGAAGUCUAUCAGCGUGGGGGUAGGCUUUGAGGCCUUUUUCUCAAGCUUCACUCAGUGUGACAGUUCAGUUGACUUCCUGUUGCUUAUAAAUUGUAGGACUCUCAGCUACUCCAGAUCCUCUUCAUCCUGCAUGCCACCAUGCCCCCUGUCAGGACAAUAAUGGGCUAAUGCUCUGAAACUGGAAGCAAGCUCCCUCAAUUAAAUGUUUUCCUUGUAAGAUUUGCUGUGUUUAUGGUGUCUCCUCAUAGCAAUAGAAACCCAAACUAAGACACCCAGUAUUUCUUUUUUUCCCUAGCAAAGAUUAGAAGAUACAGAAACUGCUUGCAGCGUCUUUGUUAGCACAAGUGGGUCAGAGGGUAAUAAUGCUCUUCUGUUGUAUCAUGUAUUCUUUUGUAG
rnacentral:lncRNA from 1 species